rnacentral:lncRNA from 1 species
GUUAAGAUGAGGUCACCCCGGAGGAGGGUGGGCUGCUCGCUACAAUAACUAGGGUCCUUGUAAGAACACAGCCAUGUGAAGACAGAGACGCACAGGGAGAAGGUUCUGUGACAACAUAGGCAGAGGUUGGAGAGAUGCAGCCAAAGCCAAGGGCGGUCAGCCAGCACCGGGAGCUGCAGGCGAAGGAGGAAGGGAGGCUUCUGAGGGAGCACAGCCCCGCCGACACGUUGAUCGUGGACUUCUAGCUCCCAAACUGUAAGACAAUACACUUCUGUUGUUUGAAGCCACCCAGUUUAUGGCUCUUUGUUAGGGCAGCCCUCGGAUACUGACAAGGCAGGGAAGAAGGAAAAGCUAAUCACUGGUGAUUACUCGGGUCACCACUAAAGGCCACCAGCGCUCAGUCCUCCCGGGACACCUGAGCAGCCAUGGAGAUGAUGACUCACAUUCAUCUCUCCAAGACCAGGUACCGGGCAUCCACACACUGGCUCCGGCGUCCAGCUGGGUGAAUGUUGUCCCUAGGGGUAGCCCCGGCACAUGACAGGGCUGUCCCUGCGCAUGGACUGAGCUCACGAGCCAUCCAUCAGGCUGCAGGUGACGUCAGAGGUGGAUGAAGGGAUACGGGGUGGAGCAGACACCGGGUUAUGGGUCCUGACCCCAUCAUCCCUCCACAGCACUGCUUUUCUGCAUGAGAGACAGGCCAAGUUCAAGGUGAAAACCGAAAGCCACCCACACAGGCUUACCAUUAAUGCAUGCACUUUGGGACCUCUUAUUUCAGAUAUACGCAUGGAUUAACUUGUCAAAAUUUUAUCAGAGGGAAAAAGAAGGACGAGGAGAAAGAAGAGGAAAGUCAAUGUUGUCAUUGUCAUUUUACAGGUAUGGUCCCAGUACAGAGUGGCCUCUCUGAUUUUACCAACAGAACCUUGUUUCCUAGACGCCGUGAGACCCAGGAAAGCCCGGCCUGUAGGCUGCACCUGCAGUGGGUCUAUGCAGGGGCAUGCCAGAGCGGAAGGUGCAGGGAGGUCACCUUGCUGAGUUAG